rnacentral:rRNA from 1 species
UACGAAGGGGGCUAGCGUUGCUCGGAAUGACUGGGCGGAAAGGGCGCGUAGGCGGAUGGCACAGUCAGAUGUGAAAUUCCCGGGCUUAACCUGGGGGCUGCAUUUGAUACGUGUGAUCUAGAGUGAGGAAGAGGGUCGUGGAAUUCCCAGUGUAGAGGUGAAAUUCGUAGAUAUUGGGAAGAACACCGGUGGCGAAGGCGGCGACCUGGUCCUUGACUGACGCUGAGGCGCGAAAGCGUGGGGAGCAAACAGG